ACAAUAAUUACUUACUUCCUACAUAACAUUGUAAUUAUUUCGAUUAUACGGUGCGUUACAUUUUAUUUUUAGGAAAGCGACGGAAAAAAGGAAAUUUGUGCAGCCAAUUCGCAGAACUUGUGGGAUGAUACUGUCAAUCUUACAGAUUUCGAAGAAGCAAUGCGACAUGCGGAAA